rnacentral:rRNA from 1 species
CACGUAGGGGACGAGCGUUGUCCGGAUUCAUUGGGCGUAAAGCGCGCGUAGGCGGCUCGGAAAGUCGGUCGUGAAAUGCCGGGGCUCAACCCCGGGACUGCGUCCGAUACUUCCGGGCUGGAGGUAGGUAGGGGAGAUCGGAAUUCCUGGUGUAGCGGUGAAAUGCGCAGAUAUCAGGAGGAACACCGGUGGCGAAGGCGGAUCUCUGGGACGGUACUGACGCUGAGACGCGAAAGCGUGGGGAGCGAACAGG